GUUCCACUGCAGCGUUGGUGACUGCCAAUAAUGUUUUUGGAUCUAUGCUUUGUCGAAUUAGGGAACCACUGCGUUCUAGCGGCAGUAGACCGAGCUUUGCUACUCGGAAACUUUAAGUUAGAGAAGAGGUACCCACCUGGAAUUUAUCCAGGUCUAAAACUGAGGUAAAACGGCACUGCGGUGAACUC
rnacentral:other from 1 species